UAGAGGAGGUCCUGGCAUGGAAGAUGAGGCUUGUCUAGUUCAUGGCUAUCCAGACCUUUGGGUUGGCACCAACUAUAACCUAAAGUUUGUUAAACCUCCAAAAACCAUGAAGAUAUUUAAUCCUGUUUGAACAGAAAGAGGAUGCUCUCUUACAGGCUGAAGGAGAGGUACCUGCCCACAACUCUGACUGGCUGUAGUUUCUCUGGAGUUUCUCUGGAGUGCCUGUCACAGUCACAGAACAUGGUCAUGGAAACCAGAAGACCCAGAAGAUGGCACAAGGGCAAAGACAACAAUGAAUAGAGAGCCAGCAAGCCUGCCAUGAGGCUAUCUUGGCUUGGGGUAAGGUGACCCAGCUGAAGAAGCUGAGGGAUGGAGAGACAAGUGUCUGGGAAACAAUACGACUGUUGGCCACAAGAGAACCAAGGUGGGACCAAGUCAAUCAUGCCCAAAAGAUGUGGGCUCUGAGAAUAAUUCAGAGGAAACUAAAAUGUCAUUAAGUAAUAAGUUUAAGUCUUGGCCCUUCAGCAGAAUGGAGCUGGUGGAGGUCAUACCAGUGUUGGAAAAAUAAAGAAGUCAGCCCUAUGCCUGAUCCAUAAAUAUACAGAAUGCAAAGCCAUAUGAUCUCCUGAAGUUCAUUUGCUCACUGACAUUAGGUCAAUAUUGUUCCCUCUGUGGAGAGGCUCAGAAAUGUAGGCGGUUGCACCAGGGUCGAG